rnacentral:piRNA from 1 species
ACUCAAAACAAUCUUUGGGUAUCUGCUUA